rnacentral:rRNA from 1 species
UACGAAGGGGGCUAGCGUUGCUCGGAAUCACUGGGCGUAAAGCGCACGUAGGCGGCUUUCUAAGUCAGGGGUGAAAUCCUGGAGCUCAACUCCAGAACUGCCUUUGAUACUGGGGAUCUCGAGUCCGGGAGAGGUGAGUGGAACUGCGAGUGUAGAGGUGAAAUUCGUAGAUAUUCGCAAGAACACCAGUGGCGAAGGCGGCUCACUGGCCCGGAACUGACGCUGAGGUGCGAAAGCGUGGGGAGCAAACAGG